CCAUCCGUCUCCGUAUCCACACAUAAAGCUCCACGGGGGCCAGGACUGGUGUUAGGCACCUAGUACCCAGUCAAUAAACAUUUGUUAAAUGAAUGAACAGAUGGAUGACCAACCUCCUUGGACCAUCUGGGCCAUGUUCCCAAAGACUUCCUCUUGACGGCCAAGUUCUGGCUCCGUACCACUGAGAGGCCUGCAGGGUUACCAAGAUGGGAGAAUUGAACACUGUGCCAAGCGCCAUCAGACAUUUGUAAAGCCCUCAGCCAAAAAUGUUAUUGGAAACAGGAUGUAUGUCUGUGCAGUAUGUGUUCAGCACUGGAAAUGUUUGAUGAACUAAGCCAGCCUCCAUGCCUGCAUCUCCCUCCCCAGGGCCAGCUUUCCAUGAACUACUGGAAACAGAUCAGAAGCACCAAAGCCAUUGCAUUUUCGUGGUUCAGCCUGGUGGUCAGGAGCACAGACUUUUGCAUCUGCCUUUGUUUUUUUGUUUGUUUGUUUUGGUUUUUAUUGUUGUUUUCUUUUUAUUUUUUUAAUAUGCAUAUUUUUUAUUGGAGUUCAAUUUGCCAACAUAUAGUAUAACACCCAGUGCUCAUCCCAUCAAGUGCCCCCCUCAGUCCCCAUCACCCAGUCACCUUGUCCCCCCACCCACUUCCCCUUCCACUACCCCUUGUUCAUUUCCCAGAGUUAGGAGUCUCUCAUGUUUUGUCACUCUCUCUGAUUUUCCCCACUCAUUUUCUCUCCUUUCCCCUAUGAUCCCUUUCACUAUUUUUUAUAUUCCCCAUAUGAGUGAAACCAUAUGUUUGUCCUUCUCCAAUUGACUUACUUCACUCAACAUAAUUCCCUCCAGUUCUAUCCACGUCGAAGCAAAUGGUGGGUAUUCGUCGUGUCUAAUGGCUGAGAAGUAUUCCAUUGUAUACAUAGACCACAUCUUCUUUAUCCAGUCAUCUUUCGAUGGACCCCAAGGCUCCUUCCACAGUUUGGCUAUUGUGGACAUUGCUGCUAUAAACAUUGGGGUGCAGGUAUCUCAGCUUUUCACUACAUCUCUAUCUUUGGGGUAAAUCCCCAGCAGUGCAAUUGCUGGGUCAUAGGGUAGCUCUAUUUUUAACUCUUUGAGGAACCUCCACACAGUUUUCCAGAGUGGCUGCACCAGUUCACAUUCCCACUUACAGUGCAAGAGGGAUCCCGUUUGUCCACAUCCUCUCCAACAUUUGUGGUUUCCUGUUUUGUUAAUUUUCCCCAUUCUCACUGGUGUGAGGUGGUAUCUCAUGGUGGUUUGGAUCUGUAGUUCCCUGAUGGCCAGUGAUGCGGGGCAUGUUCUCAUGUGCUUGUUGGCCAUGUCUGUGUCUUCCUCUGUGAGAUUUGUUCAUGUCUUUUGCCCAUUUCAUGAUUGGAUUGAUUGUUUCUUUGCUGUUGAGUUGAAUAAGUUAUUUAUAGACCGUGAUACUACUGAUAUGUCAUUUGCAAGUAUCUUCUCCCAUUCUGUAGGUUGUCUUUUAGUUUUGUUGACUGUUUCUUUUGCUGUGCAGAAGCUUUGAUCUUGAUGAAGUCCUAAUAGUUCAUUUUUGCUUUUGUUUCCCUUGCCUUCAUAGAUGUAUCUUGCACGAAGUUGCUGUGGCCAAGUUGAAAAAGGGUGUUGCCUGUGUUCGCCUCUAGGAUUCUGAUGGAAUCUUGUCUCACAUUUAGAUCUUUCAUCCAUUUUGAGUUUAUCGUUGUGUGUGGUGUCAGAGAAUGGUCUCGUUUCCUUCUUCUGCAUGUGGAUGUCCAAUUUUCCCAGCACCAUUUAUUGAAGAGACUGUCCUUUUUCCAGUGGAUAGUCUUUCCUGCUUUGUCAAAUAUUAGUUGACCAUAGAGUUGAGGGCCCAUUUCUGGGUUCUCUAUUCUGUUCCACUGAUCUAUGUGUCUGUCUUUGUGCCACUACCACACUGUCUUGAUGGCCACAGCUUUGUAGUACAACUUGAAAUCUGGCAUUGUGAUGCCCCCAGCUCUGGUUUUCUUUUUCAAUAUUCCCUGGCUAUUCAGGGUCUUUUCUGAUUCCACACAAAUCUUAAGAUUAUUUGUUCCAACUUUCUGAAGAAAGUCCAUGGUAUUUUGAUAGGGAUUGCAUGAAAUGUGUAAAUUGCCCUGGGUAGCAUAAACAUUUUCAUAAUAUUAAUUCUUCCAAUCCAUGAGCAUGGAAUAUCUUUCCAUCUCUUUGUGUCUUCCUCAAUUUCUUUGAAGUGUUCUGUAGUUUGAAGUGUUUCAAAUUAGUUUGAAGUGUUCUGUAGUUUUUAGGGUAUAGAUCCUUCACCUCUUUGGUUCGGUUUAUUCCUAGGUACCUUAUGCUUUUGGGUGCAAUUGUAAAUGGAAUUGCCUAAGAUUAGGGACAUGACAGAGAUGUCCACUCUCACCACUGCUAUUCAACAUAGUACUAGAAGUCCUAGCCUCAGCAAUCAGGCAAAAAAUAAAUAAAUAAAUAAAAGGCA
rnacentral:lncRNA from 12 species